GAUGAACGCUGACAGAAUGCUUAACACAUGCAAGUCAACUGUGGCGGACGGGUGAGUAACGCGUCAAGAACUUGCCUCACAGUUAGGGACAACAUUUGGGAACGAAUGCUAAUACCUGAUACUGUGACAGUGCUUUGCGUCCCCUUAGCCAGUUGGAGAGGUAACGGCUUACCACGGCGAUGAUGGGUAACCGGCCUGAGAGGGUGAUCGGCCACAAGGGGACUGAGACACGGCCCUUACUCCUACGGGAGGCAGCAGUGGGGAAUAUUGGACGAUGGGCCAAAGUCUGAUCCAGCAAUUCUGUGUGCACGAUGAAGUUUUCGGAAUGUAAAGUGCUUUCAGUUGGGAAGCGGUACCAACAGAAGAAGUGACGGCUAAAUACGUGCCAGCAGCCGCGGUAAUAC
rnacentral:rRNA from 1 species